rnacentral:rRNA from 2 species
GACGAGGGAUCCUAGCGUUGUUCGGAAUCAUUGGGCGUAAAGCGGAUGUAGGUGGCUUUGUAAGUCAGAUGUGAAAGCCCCGGGCUCAACCCGGGAAGUGCAUUUGAUACUGCGAAGCUUGAGUGCUAGAGAGGUUACUAGAAUACCUGGUGUAGUGGUGAAAUACGUAGAUAUCAGGUGGAAUACCGGAGGCGAAGGCGGGUAACCAGCUAGACACUGACACUCAGAUCCGAAAGUGUGGGGAUCAAACAGG